GAUGAACGCUAGCUACAGGCUUAACACAUGCAAGUCGAGGGGCAGCAUGGUCUUAGCUUGCUAAGGCCGAUGGCGACCGGCGCACGGGUGAGUAACACGUAUCCAACCUGCCGUCUACUCUUGGCCAGCCUUCUGAAAGGAAGAUUAAUACAAGAUGGCAUCAUGAGUCCGCAUGUUCACAUGAUUAAAGGUAUUCCGGUAGACGAGGGGGAUGCGUUCCAUUAGAUAGUAGGCGGGGUAACGGCCCAGCUAGUCUUCGAUGGAUAGGGGUUCUGAGAGGAAGGUCCCCCACAUUGGAACUGAGACACGGUCCAAACUCCUACGAGAGGCAGCAGUGAGUAAUAUUGGUCGAUGGGCGAGAGCCUGAACCAGCCAAGUAGCGUGAAGGAUGACUGCCCUAUGGGUUGUAAACUUCUUUUAUAAAGGAAUAAAGUCAGGUAUGGAUACCCGUUUGCAUGUACUUUAUGAAUAAGGAUCGGCUAACUCCGUG
rnacentral:rRNA from 1 species